rnacentral:misc_RNA from 1 species
GAACCCCAAGGGAGAAAUGAAAGGGUCUGCCAUCACUGGCCCAAUUGGUAAAGAAUGUGCUGAUCUAUGGCCUAGGAUUGCAUCUGCUGCCAAUGCUAUUGUGUAGAAGAAGUAGGAGCUCCCCUAAGUAGUUUAUGAUUCUUGUUUUUUUUGGGUUGUCAUUAAGUUUUCGGAUAUCUGAGGAACGGUUUUGUCUUGGUAAGAAUUAUUUGUUCAAAAUUUUGGGGUGAUCAUCAAAUGAUUGUUCUCAUUUCCAUGGUUUUGAAUA